UACGUAGGGUGCGAGCGUUGUCCGGAAUUAUUGGGCGUAAAGGGCUCGUAGGCGGUUUUGUCGCGUCGGGAGUGAAACUCAGGGCUUAACCCUGAGCCUGCUUCCGAUACGGGCAGACUAGAGGUAUGCAGGGGAGAACGGAAUUCCUGGUGUAGCGGUGAAAUGCGCAGAUAUCAGGAGGAACACCGGUGGCGAAGGCGGCUCUCUGGUCCACAACUGACGCUGAGGUGCGAAAGCGUGGGGAGCAAACAGG
rnacentral:rRNA from 1 species